rnacentral:rRNA from 1 species
CACGUAGGGUGCGAGCGUUGUCCGGAAUUAUUGGGCGUAAAGAGCUCGUAGGCGGUGUGUCGCGUCGGCCGUGAAAACCUGCAGCUUAACUGUGGGCGUGCGGUCGAUACGGGCAUCACUGGAGUUCGGCAGGGGAGACUGGAAUUCCUGGUGUAGCGGUGAAAUGCGCAGAUAUCGGGAGGAACACCAGUAGCGAAGGCGGCACUCUGGGCCGUGACUGACGCUGAGGAGCGAAAGCGUGGGUAGCAAACAGG